GGAACGUGUCCUUAAGUGGGGAAUAACGCAUCGAAAGAUGUGCUAAUACCGCAUAUCUCUGAGGAGAAAAGCAGGGGAUCGCAAGACCUUGCGCUAAAGGAGCGGCCGAUGUCUGAUUAGCUAGUUGGUGGGGUAAAGGCUUACCAAGGCAACGAUCAGUAGUUGGUCUGAGAGGACGGCCAGCCACACUGGGACUGAGACACGGCCCAGACUCCUACGGGAGGCAGCAGUGGGGAAUUUUGGACAAUGGGCGAAAGCCUGAUCCAGCCAUGCCGCGUGAGUGAAGAAGGCCUUCGGGUUGUAAAGCUCUUUUAGUCGGAAAGAAAGAGUUGCAAUGAAUAAUUGUGAUUUAUGACGGUACCGACAGAAAAAGCACCGGCUAACUACUUCC
rnacentral:rRNA from 1 species